UACGUAGGGUGCGAGCGUUAAUCGGAAUUACUGGGCGUAAAGCGUGCGCAGGCGGUUUUGUAAGUCAGAUGUGAAAUCCCCGGGCUCAACCUGGGAACUGCGUUUGAAACUACAAGGCUAGAGUGUAGCAGAGGGGGGUAGAAUUCCACGUGUAGCAGUGAAAUGCGUAGAGAUGUGGAGGAAUACCAAUGGCGAAGGCAGCCCCUGGGUUAACACUGACGCUCAUGCACGAAAGCGUGGGGAGCAAACAGG
rnacentral:rRNA from 1 species